GAACCCGGGAGGCAGAGCUUGCAGUGAGCCGAGAUCCCACCACUGCACUCCAGCUUAGGCGACAGAGCCAGACUGUGUCUCAAAAACAGGAAAGAAAACAAAAGAAAAUUUGGACUAUUGCCAAUUACAAAUAUUUUUAGAGAAGAUUCGAAACAAUAACUGUGGAUGAUGGAAACAAUAGUUAUGAUAAAAGUCUGAUGAAACUUCCCAGUUCACAAGGAAAUUUAAUUACUUAUGUGCGGCAUUUUAAGACAGUAAUCAGAAUCAUGACUGACAGCAUCAUAUCAGG
rnacentral:lncRNA from 1 species